rnacentral:rRNA from 1 species
UACGAAGGGGGCUAGCGUUGCUCGGAAUCACUGGGCGUAAAGGGCGCGUAGGCGGCCGAUCAAGUCAGGGGUGAAAGCCUGUGGCUCAACCACAGAAUUGCCUUUGAUACUGUUCGGCUCGAGACCGGAAGAGGUUGGUGGAACUGCGAGUGUAGAGGUGAAAUUCGUAGAUAUUCGCAAGAACACCAGUGGCGAAGGCGGCCAACUGGUCCGGUUCUGACGCUGAGGCGCGAAAGCGUGGGGAGCAAACAGGAUUAGAAACCCCCGUAGUCC